rnacentral:rRNA from 1 species
AGCUUGCUCCCUGAGAUCAGCGGCGGACGGGUGAGUAACACGUGGGUAACCUGCCUGUAAGACUGGGAUAACUCCGGGAAACCGGGGCUAAUACCGGAUAACUCAGUUCCUCGCAUGAGGAACUGUUGAAAGGUGGCUUCGGCUACCACUUACAGAUGGACCCGCGGCGCAUUAGCUAGUUGGUGAGGUAACGGCUCACCAAGGCAACGAUGCGUAGCCGAACUGAGAGGGUGAUCGGCCACACUGGGACUGAGACACGGCCCAAACUCCUACGGGAGGCAGCAGUAGGGAAUCUUCCGCAAUGGACGAAAGUCUGACGGAACAACGCCGCGUGAGUGAAGAAGGGUUUCGGAUCGUAAAACUCUGUUGUUAGGGAAGAACAAGUGCCGUUCGAAUAGGGCGGCACCUUGACGGUACCUAACCAGAAAGCCACGGCUAACUACGUGCCAGCAGCCGCGGUAAUACGUAAGUGGCAAGCGUUGUCCGGAUUUAUUGGGCGUAAAGCGCGCGCAAGUGGUUUCUUAAGUCUGAUGUGAAAGCCCACGGCUCAACCGUGGAGGGUCAUUGGAAACUGGGGAACUUGAGUGCAGAAGAAGAAAGUGGAAUUCCAAGUGUAGCGGUGAAAUGCGUAGAUAUUUGGAGGAACACCAGUGGCGAAGGCGACUUUCUGGUCUGUAACUGACACUGAGGCGCGAAAGCGUGGGGGAGCAAACAGGAUUAGAUACCCUGGUAGUCCACGCCGUAAACGAUGAGUGCUAAGUGUUAAAGGGUUUCCGCCCUUUAGUGCUGCAGCUAACGCAUUAAGCACUCCGCCUGGGGAGUACGGUCGCAAGACUGAAACUCAAAGGAAUUGACGGGGGCCCGCCCAAGCGGGGGAGCAUGGGGUUUAAUUCCAAGCAACCCCGA